GUUAAAAUGUCCUAAUUUUUGAUUCAAAGGUAAGUAGUUAGCACACCUGAUCACCUACAAAAGUUGUAAUAUUUUCAAAACGAGACCCAAAACUCGAUCCCUUUCGGAUAGUUGACCAUUCUUCUUCAGGAAAAUAAAGG